AUUGAACGCUGGCGGCAGGCCUAACACAUGCAAGUCGGACGGUAGCACAGAGGAGCUUGCUCCUCGGGUGACGAGUGGCGGACGGGUGAGUAAUGUCUGGGGAUCUGCCCGAUAGAGGGGGAUAACCACUGGAAACGGUGGCUAAUACCGCAUAACGUCGCAAGACCAAAGAGGGGGACCUUCGGGCCUCUCACUAUCGGAUGAACCCAGAUGGGAUUAGCUAGUAGGCGGGGUAAUGGCCCACCUAGGCGACGAUCCCUAGCUGGUCUGAGAGGAUGACCAGCCACACUGGAACUGAGACACGGUCCAGACUCCUACGGGAGGCAGCAGUGGGGAAUAUUGCACAAUGGGCGCAAGCCUGAUGCAGCCAUGCCGCGUGUAUGAAGAAGGCCUUCGGGUUGUAAAGUACUUUCAGCGGGGAGGAAGGCGAUGUAGUUAAUAACCUUGUCGAUUGACGUUACCCGCAGAAGAAGCACCGGCUAACUCCGUGCCAGCCGCCGCCGUAA
rnacentral:rRNA from 1 species